rnacentral:rRNA from 1 species
UACGUAGGGUGCGAGCGUUGUCCGGAAUUACUGGGCGUAAAGAGCUCGUAGGUGGUUUGUCGCGUUGUUCGUGAAAACUCACAGCUUAACUGUGGGCGUGCGGGCGAUACGGGCAGACUAGAGUGAUGUAGGGGAGACUGGAAUUCCUGGUGUAGCGGUGAAAUGCGCAGAUAUCAGGAGGAACACCGAUGGCGAAGGCAGGUCUCUGGGCAUUAACUGACGCUGAGGAGCGAAAGCAUGGGGAGCGAACAGG